UCUCAACAUCAUAGUACCGAGGUUUAUCGCGAGAAUUGGCAGUUGCCCUUGGCGCCAAUUUCUGAGGUGGCUGCUGUCAGUGAACAGACAGUGUGUGUGUGUCAUGACAAUCUUUAAGCCCUUAGAAAGCCUAUGUAGAGUGUGGAUGUGACUGCUCUAUACAUCACAGCCGAGCCAAAAGGGGAAAUGACGGUGGCGGAGUAACAGACCAUUUGGAUUAUCAAUCUUAUUAUAAAAUGUCGUGUUUUUUUUUUUUUUUUUUUUUUAUAUAAUUGUUAGGAAAAAUCACUGCAGUAUAUUGCAAUCAGAAUAAUUUUCAAUAUGAAAUUUAACUUUUUAAAAAAUAUAUUCUCACUACUCCUAAAGCCUAUGUACAUGGGCCAAAAUCCCCAUCCACUUGGGUCAGCUCUUCCUUCCCUGCUGCUCAACUUUUUUUUUUUUUUUUUUUUUUUUUUUUUCCUUUCUGUAGUGCAGCGGUUGCUUGCGCCCCCCCAUCACAUCACUGACCCUUCCUUAUGGCCAGGUAUGUCUCACGCUGCAGUCUCUACUGCGCAUGACUGCAUCGGACAAACAUACCUGGCCUUUUAUAAUAUAGGAUUAGAAAAAUGUUCAUUCCAUGACAAGAUAAAUGAUUAUAUAAUGAAAAUAAAACAAAAUAUAUAAUCAAAGCAAACAA